UUUCCGUAGGUGAACCUGCGGAAGGAUCAUUAAUGAGUUGUCAUGGGGUUCGAUGCUGGCAGCCAACUUUUGGAUGCAUGUGCUUGCCCUAACAAUCAUCUUCCAAACACCUGUGCACAUUUUUGAGGGAGUCUUGAGUUGGUUGCCGCUCUUGGGUGAUUUUCUCACAUUCCCUUAAAUCAUUAUACGCUAUUAACAAUGUUGAACGUGCUCUGUGCCGCAAGGCUAUUAAUAUAAUACAACUUUUAACAACGGAUCUCUUGGCUCUC
rnacentral:misc_RNA from 1 species